rnacentral:rRNA from 1 species
AUACGUAGGUCCCGAGCGUUGCGCGGAGUCACUGGGCGUAAAGCGUCCGCAGCCGGCCCCGUAAGCGGGAUGUCAAAGUCCGCCGCUCAACGGCGGAACGGCAUCCCGAACGGCGGGGCUUGAGGCGCGCCCGGGCAGGCGGAAUUCCCGGGGUAGCGGUGAAAUGCGUAGCUCUCGGGAGGAACACCGAAGGGGAAGCCAGCCUGCUGGGGCCGUCCUGACGGUCAGGGACGAAAGCCGGGGGAGCAAACCGGAUUAGAAACCCCAGUAGUCC